CUGCGGGCUCUUUUGUCGCAGAGAGUCUCCACUUGGAAAAUUACAAUUUGUUCAAACGCAACAGACACCUGUCCUACACAAACUUUCCCCAGAUGGCAAACAGAAGUGGUGGUGGAGUUGCUGUUUAUGUGAAAAGUGACAUUAAAGUGCAUGAAAAACAGUACAUCCAUAAUGUAACUGACCUUGAAUUUCUGGCUUUAAAGGUUGAAGCACCAGUCAGUGCACUGAUUGCAGUUGUAUACAGACCUCCAGACUACACUCUGAGGCCAUUCCUGAAAAACCUGCCAGAGCGAUGUCUCCAUUCUGGAGUCAUGAAGACCUACCAUAGUUACCAUGACCCUGUAUACUGUGCAUUGUCCUGUGAUGAUUCAUGAUCUAGAUCUUUGACUACAGUGUUUCCCUCUGUGAUCCAUCCCCUUCAGAGCUGAGACACUCAAGACUGAACAGACUGCACAGUUUCUGUGACUGAGCCUCCAAAACACCUUCUUUGAAACCACACAUGAUAGAAGGGCUUUAUAUUUGCAGCAGCACUACUAAAGGUAUUCAGUUUAUUACAGGAUGUGUUUGUUUCUUAGGACCAGCUCUAAGUGCACACUACCUAACAUAUACACCUUUCUGUUCAUUACAAACCAACUACUCUGGAUCAUAUGGCCAGUCGGCAGGAAUGUUUCUGCAGGAAAACAUCACUGGAGAUCACCAUCAUUGUCAGACUGACUGUGCCUCCUCUGUGCAGUGUCAAGAUCCUCCUUAAAUGAGUGUUCCUCAGCUAUCCUGCUUCUGUGCUGCUUGCCACACAUCAAACACUGGCCGGAUGACAGG